rnacentral:lncRNA from 1 species
CUUUCAGAUUGGCUAAUAUUGCCAAAAAGGAAAAUGAUAAAUGUUAGAGGGGAUGUAGGAAAAUUGGGACAAUAAUACACUAUUGGAAAUGUGAACUGAUAUAACCACUUUUGAGUGUAAUCUGGAACCACUCCCAAAGGGCCAUGAUACUAUGCACAACUAUUUGUGAAUUUUAAAAAGUCUCCAUCUUGGUCUAGCACCCAAAAUUGUGCACACCCACACUACACGGGCAUGUGCUAGUCAAUGACAAAUCAGAAAUAACUAACUGCCCACCUGGGCUGUCCUAAGCCAAGCUAGAGCCAACCAUUGGAUUUUGUGAGACACAGGAAGUGAGGUAGGGAGCAGCCUCUGGAAUUCGCUCACUUCCUGUGGGGAGAGGGAGAUGCCAGUUGGUGUUAGGAGGAGUUGGUGUUAGGAGCUUGGACAGAGAGGACGCCCGCAGACAGCUUUCCUUCAGAUGGGUCACUUCUUCAUUUUUUUAAGUGGAGGCUGAUGAAGAAUGUGCUGACUGGACCUGAGACUCCGUUUCCUGAAACACAAUGUCAAGGACGGUCCAAGCGGAUCCUAGAGGCGUUCCUCCACUCUGCAGGGUUUAUCAUGCCAACUAGAUGCCAAGCUCCCCCCCCCCUUCCUUCUUUUCCUGAAGGUGAAGAGUAUUUCGCCUCUUGGCUUCCUGUCCUCUCAAGAUGCUCGCAUAGCAUCAGUAUGCAGCUUUAA